rnacentral:lncRNA from 1 species
AGAGAGGGACCCGGGGAUGCUGAGCGCAGAGCACGGUGGGGGCCGUGCAGGAGGAGGAAACCCAGAAGCGAGGCUCCUCCGCUCACAGAGAUCCGGGGAGCGUCUGGUGGUCCAGUUCUGCCUGAGAUCAAGUGCAAUUGUACCCUUGGGAGGUUGGGUGGGGUUUGCCCCAGUGCCCAGAAAGUCUGAGCUGACCUCAGUAAGACUUACAGGGUAGGGCUCUGCUCCUGGACCAACACUGAAGCCCCAGGAGAGCCUCGUCUUACUCUCUAGAGGCUGCGGCAGGGAUACCUGUGUCCCCACGUGGGGGCUUGGGCUUUAGCUGCAGCCAAGACAGCUGCUUCCUGAGUGCUCCGCGGUGACAAGCUGCCUGUAGGGACACAGGGCUGUGGAGUGACUGGACCCACCGCCAACUUCCUCACCUGCACGAAGGUGAUGACUAGCAGCCUCUGACCACGUGUGGCUGCGGAAUCACAAGAGCAUGGAGUCAAGGGCCGAGUGCCACUGGGGGCUCAGUGACCACAGGUCCUCUUCCCUCCCCAGCCCCUUUGCCUGGGCGUGCCUGGGGUGGUGGUCAGGACUGGUGUCCACAGCCCUGUAACCUCCCGACAAGAGAAACAGCUGAAGUCGAGCCUGGUGACCUGAUGGCCGAGCUUCCUGCCUGCUCACUGCAGAGUUUUGUGGCGCCAAGCCCUACACAGGGAAGAGGAGAGAGCAGGAGCACCCAGCCCUCCCCAACGAGGGGUGAAUCUGGAGUCAACCUGGGGUCCUCUUAGAUGUUCUGAGGCAUGCAGACGUAAAUUUAAAUAACUAUAAGGCAGAAGGUAAGUGACAAUCGACCGGCCAGGCUGUUGGCCAGUGCCGUCCUGGCUGGAUGACACAAUCCUCACAGCUCAAGAGACAGGAGUUAGCUGCCCCGAGGGGAGAGGCUGGAGAGGGGGGAGCAGCCGUGCAGAAAGAGCCGGUGACAGGUAGGAGGUGUGGGGGUGGGCGGCACAGUUCCAGCGUCCCUGUGCAAAUCCCCCUCGUGCCCACACUGUUCCUGGCUUUGGGGCCUGGCAGUGUGCAAGACCUACUAGCAUGCCCUCUGGAGCGGAGAUUCCAGUGGAUGAGGGCACAGGGACCCUCGCUGUGUGACAGGCACCGGGGGCCGAGGCCAGCAGGCAGGCUGAGGGCGGGAUGCGCCUGUGCUCUGGCCCAUCUUAUGGAAUGGCCUGUAAUCACCUAC